rnacentral:rRNA from 1 species
CUACGGGUGGCUGCAGUGAGGAAUCUUCCGCAAUGGGCGAAAGCCUGACGGAGCGACACCGCGUGAAGGAUGAAGGCCUUUUGGUUGUAAACUUCUUUUCUGAGGGAAUAAAUGAUGAAGGUACCUCAGGAAUAAGCACCGGCUAAUUACGUGCCAGCAGCCGCGGUAAUACGUAAGGUGCAAGCGUUAUCCGGAAUUAUUGGGCGUAAAGCGUUCGUAGGUGGUUUGGAAAGUUUGUGGUUAAAUCUGGUCGCUCAACGAUCAAAUCGCUGCAAAAACUCCCAAACUAGAGAAUAGCAGAGGCAACUGGAAUUCCACAUGUAGGGGUAAAAUCCGUUGAUAUGUGGAGGAACACCAAAAGCGAAGGCAGGUUGCUGGGCUAUUUCUGACACUGAGGAACGAAAGCGUGGGGAGCAAACAGGAUUAGAUACCCGGGUAGUC